ensembl:lncRNA
GGUGACUUCUGAAGCUGAACGUUUACUGGUUACCCAACUUGCGUACACGCUGUCGACGUCGCUUGAAUAAGACGUCAUACAAGAAUUGUCAUAUUAGCAAGGCGUAUGGGUUGGGUGAGUCUCUUGGCGUCCUGGGUAGCUUGUGCCUGGUGGUAGUCGUAGUGCUGUUCCUAAUGCAGAGAUGGCGAAAAUGCAUUUGAUUUUAUCCACAUCUCUCUGUAUUGUUUAUGGGGUUAGUGUUGCCUUUACACACGACGCUUGGCGUGUAGGAACUUGAUCGCAGUAACGACGUUUGGUUUUGAAGAUCUAGAAGUUAGUUCAACACGUGGUACGGUCGCAUGUAUGCUGCAUCAAUUGAGUCGAUGUCCUGCACGAGGUUAAGAGCGCUGCACCAAAGCCAGGCUAUGCGCGUGAAUUGUCACAACAUAUAUGGCAUCACAGGCCAUAAGCAUGAAUCCGACAAACAUACUUGGAGCCAAUGCUACUUGCUGGCCAUAAGCAUGAAUCCGACAAACAUACUUGCAGCCAAUGCUACUGGCUGGCCAUAAGCAUGAAUCCGACAAACAUACUUGGCGCCAAAGCUACUUGCUGGUGAGUACUUACUGCGCCUCAUGAUAUUCCAAAGCUUUAUACUUGAUCUAUUUGAUGAUGAAACCCUAACUGAAAGCUGGAAUUACCGUCAGAUUGUUCAGUGUUGAUAAUUCAGGUUCUGAAUGCUGUAUCUAAUCAGCGUUAUAGCUUGAAGCUGUUGGUUGUAUUAAAAGUAAACAAAUAUAUUUAUUUCACAGGCCAUAAGCAUGAAUCCGACAAACAUACUUGGCGCCAAAGCUACUUGCUGGUGAGUACUUACUGCGCCUCAUGAUAUUCCAAAGCUUUAUACUUGAUCUAUUUGAUGAUGAAACCCUAACUGAAAGCUGGAAUUACCGUCAGAUUGUUCAGUGUUGAUAAUUCAGGUUCUGAAUGCUGUAUCUAAUCAGCGUUAUAGCUUGAAGCUGUUGGUUGUAUUAAAAGUAAACAAAUAUAUUUCUUUCACAGGCCAUAAGCAUGAAUCCGACAAACAUAUUUGGAGCCAAUGCUACUUGUUGGUGAGUAGUUACUGCGCCUCAUGAUAUUCCAAUGCCAAAGCUUUAUGCUUGAUCUUGUUGAUGAUGAAACCUAAACUGAAACUUAAACUUUUUUUUUUCUUUACAGGAAAUGCGUCCGUGCAUCCCCUGAUUCGUGGUAUUUAACUCCAUGGGAUAAUUUGGAAUGCUGUGGUUGACCUACAAUAAAUUGAUGGAGGAAAUUUGUAAAUGUGUCUUA